AUUGAACGCUGGCGGCAGGCCUAACACAUGCAAGUCGAGCGGAUGAAGGGAGCUUUCUCCUGGAUUCAGCGGCGGACGGGUGAGUAAUGCCUAGGAAUCUGCCUGGUAGUGGGGGAUAACGUCCGGAAACGGGCGCUAAUACCGCAUACGUCCUGAGGGAGAAAGUGGGGGAUCUUCGGACCUCACGCUAUCAGAUGAGCCUAGGUCGGAUUAGCUAGUUGGUGGGGUAAAGGCCUACCAAGGCGACGAUCCGUAACUGGUCUGAGAGGAUGAUCAGUCACACUGGAACUGAGACACGGGCCAGACUCCUACGGGAGGCAGCAGUGGGGAAUAUUGGACAAUGGGCGAAAGCCUGAUCCAGCCAUGCCGCGUGUGUGAAGAAGGUCUUCGGAUUGUAGAGCACUUUAAGGUGGGAGGAAGGGCAGUGAGUUAAUACCUUGCUGUUUUGACGUUACCAACAGAAUAAGCACCGGCUAACUUCGUG
rnacentral:rRNA from 1 species